UCUUCCUGCCAUCCUGGACUGGGUGAAGACUCAGAAGCCCGGAGCCAUGGGUGUCAACAUCAUCACAUCCGACUUCGUGGACCUGGUGGACUUCGCCACGACUGUCAUUGAAUUGAAUGACCUCCUCCAGGAGGACAGAGCUUUGGCUAAAUGCUGAUUUGGUUUUUAUUUCAAUGUUGGCUUUGUUGAUCCAGGCCAGAGUUCUGAAGGGUUUCCUGUUGGGACGGCCCCUGGGCAGUGAUGGGGAAGGAGGAGGAGGGCAGUUUCCCCUCUUCAUAGGGCCAUUUGGAUAAAAUUACAGAGCUUUUAAUUGCAUUUUUCCCAAAUAAGACUUUUAAAAAAACUGAAGUCCAAGGGAAGAAGCAUGUUUCGUGUGAUCAAAGUCAGGGUCUCCCCAAUGGCUCAUGAUGUGGAAUGUAAUGUGGAAAUGGGGUCUGCAGCUUCCUUCGAGUGUCUCCAAAUUGGCCCGGUUUCCUGCUGUCUCCCAGGAUGUUGUAUGCGAGCCAGUGAGAAGACUGAACCAGAAAGGCAUUCUUAGGCAAAAGAAUGGCUCGUGGCAGGUGGGGAAGGCCCCGUGGGUGGCUCUAACAUCAACCUGGGGCUUUGAGGGAGAAAGGGGCCAGGCACCACUUCUUCUGGCAUCUCGAAUAUUACCACUUCUUCCCCGAGAGAGUAAGACUUCUGGUCACCAGGCCAUUCCAGCCACAAGCUGUUCUUGCAUAGCUGCUGCUUGGGAACUGGGCACCUGCGUUCUUUGGAUAAACUGUGCAUAUUGCCUUUGGUAUCAGAAAUGUGUUUCCCAGUUGUAAAACAUUGAUUCCUUUCCAUUUCUAUUGGCCCCUUCUUAAAAGUGAAAGGAACAAUGGUGGGGGAUCUUUUCAGUGUGGGGCCCAACAGGAAAUAGAUAUGCAUGUUUGCUGCAUGCCACAUUUCUUUGGUUUUAAUCCUAUAACCUUUUCCCAAAAUGGCUGCCAGGUAAACUCCUGCAUCAUUUUGGCAAAGUCCUCUUUGGAACGGGAUCUUCAAGCCAGAUCUUGGAAUUGCAUUUCAUUGCUGCCUGCCGAGGACCCGGGUCUGUGCUGUGUCGUGUAAGAUUAAGUUCAGUGCUUCUUACCUCAAGAGCACUCACAAAGGCGCUUCCUGAACUUUUCUCACCCAGGCCCAGCGCCGCCCUGAUCUUCAACGGGCCCGUGCGUUUCAGGACUGUGAGUGACCUCUGCCUGGGCUGGGGAUGUUCCCAGCUCCCCCAGGCCUGUCGGGACAGUGUGCAUUGUGUGGGUGUGGUGCAGAGCUGAGAAGCCCCUGGCAGACCACGCACGGGGUCAGAGGAUGCAACGGGUCAUGAAGAACUCUCAGUUCUUGAGGGAGAAUCUCUAGUAGAAGGUCAGAAAGGAAGGAUCUGGAAAGAAAACGGGGCAUAGGAGUGUGUACGUGCUGAUGCCCCUCAGAACUGUCUGAGGAUCCCUAAGGAAAUGUCAGCCUCUGGAUUCUUAAGGCAGAUAAACAUGGACUCCUGGACGGAUGUGUGUGUGUGUAAGGAUCGUUGGGCCACCUCCCGGAGGCUCGCCAUUCCUCCCCUGCCGGUGCUCACGCUGUGCGGCCGUGGGCGCCUGGGGUGAGCUGCCGAAAGCGCACGCGCAUGCCCAGCUCGCGCUCUUCCAGCCUCUCUGUAAAGUCGGUUCAUCCCUGACCUUUAGCUCCCGCGGCUGGAGGGGGGUCACAACACAAAUGCCUCUGGGAAAAUCUGGUUUAACUUUUCCUGUUCUUGCAUUUGAACCCCCACUCCGAGAGGUUUCUGAGAUUGUGCUAUCCAUUUUUUAGGGCCUUCUCUGGAAAGGAGUAAGAAAGGAAGUGCCCUCGCUUUCUCAGUUGUUCCUCAAUUCUGCUAUUAAACCCCAGUGACAAGCUCUGAAAUCCCCGGCCUACCCUCAGGGUUUUAUUUGUGUCAUUAUCGUUUCAUUUUGGUCUUAUUUUUAACUCUUGGUCCAUUGCUAGGGACUAGAUCGGUUCCCCUCUUUUAACCCUCUGUUACUUGGCAAAGAGAUCAGGAGGCAAGAGGAGAAUUACUCUGCUCUGUUUUAUUUGAGCCUCAGCUUUGUCCAGGUGCUCAGUGCUAUGAGGCCAGGUGCGUUGCAGGUAUCUACACAGGACGCCAGUGACACCCAAGGGCUGCUAACUGUUCCGUGAAAUGUUUACUUGAUUUUUUCCUUUAGUUUUAAAAGAUAUAAUUGCACUUCACUUAGGUUGUAACAUUUAAGUGCAUCUCAGUGUUUGCCUGGUAAAAGUCAUCAAGCAUGACCCAAAAGCACAGAAAACGGUCCCAAGGUCAUGGGCACGGAGCCCUGCUCUAUGUGGCAAGCGCAGGUGCUCACUCCUUACUGCUCUGGGUUGCCAGCCUGGCUUGCCUUCUGAAAUUCUGCACAGGAGUUCUGGGAGAUGGGAGGAAGAUUAUUUGCAGUUCGCCCUUGAUAAACACCCUUGAAUUGGCAGAAUCUCUGCUCCAAGAAAAAGUUGUUCAACAUAUCACAAAGGACAUAUGCAUUCUGCUCUUGGACCUAAGGCCAAGCAGGAGACUCCAUGAUGGGACAGAGGGAGAAUAAACUUUAGGUCUACGACUCAUUCUGCAACUGCCAACAAUAAAAAUGGUUGACCCACCGCAUCAUUUAUUCUCACAAGAUCAAAUAAGGCUAUCGUGCUUACUCAGAAUUCACUUCAAGAUCAAAUAAAAAGCUACUUGACUGAGCCAAAGAGGGCUUUAGUUUCAUAGGAUUUGGGGCCAUAGUUCUUCUGAAAUGUAGGCUGAGUUUUUCAUGAAUUCUCUGGACCAUUCGCCACAUUUCCAUGGCUUUGUGGCAAAGGGGACAAUCACAGGUUUCAGUUAGAUUAGAGCACUGUUUAAAGGCUUGAACUUGGAGCCUAUUAGAAGUACCACUGUGGUUUCAUGGGCACAGAAGAUAUUCUUAGGGUUGGAGAGAGAAGUCAAGAUGGAACUGAUGGAAGGGAUGAUAAAUGAUUGUGGAUUAAAUUUUAAAUUAAUGGCAGACCAAAGAGGAUCAUGCCAAAACUAUUAUAUAUAUGCUGUAUGAGACCUCUAAUAAUUAAGUUUAGUCAUUUCCUCAGCAGUGAGUCCAGACCCCUGAAUUCUUGGGAAUAGUUAAGCCACAGUCCGAACCCAGGAUUUUUAUAUAAACUCAAAGAAAACACACGAUCUGAGCCCAGGUCAUGAUCAAUCUUAAGAAUCCUAGUUCUUCUUUCAUGACUUCACAUUCACAUCACAAAGUGGAUGUUUCUGUUCAAGAAGAUGAUGGUGGAGCAUUCUGGAAUGAAAUGCAGUUUUGUGGUGGGUCAGGAUUUUGUUUCUGAAUCCUGCCAUAAGAAAGUGUCCCCCAAAGAGACAUGAUUACAACCUGGCAAGAAAGCUUAGUGCUAAGCAAACGGUGGAGAAGCCGAAGAAAUUACAACUGAAAUGAAAUGGUUUCUUUUCACGGAAGCACUAGGGCUACACAAAUUCAGGCCAUCUUACCAAAUGAGUUCGUGCCCCGGGUGCAGUUUUUGUAAUGUUCUCUGUGGGCUGACUGCAGUUUUUUACUGGGAGGUUCUGGGAAAUGGAACAGGCUAACAAGUGGGGCACAGCCAUGAGACUUCUCUCUCAUGGCUUUGCAGCUAAGUGACCCUGUGCUACAUCUGCCUUGGUUCCUUAAUCUGGAAUAAAGAUGUUGUCUGCUACUUUAGUGCUGUUCUGCACACCUUGGUGGACUAGCUCCCCAAAACAUCAGGCCCCUAAUGAUUAAAGUAAAUGCCUCAUACUCGGGGGUACCCAGUUCGGUCAUUCUUCCUUGUGUGGCAUGUGUGAAGAAAUGCCAUUUGGGUUCAUUGCUCAAAAGCGUGGUGUGGGAUGAGGGAACUGGUGCCUUUAGUAAUCCGUAGAACGAGAUGCGUGUAGCUGCAUGAAAUCAGCCGACGCCCACUUGCGUUUCUGAGAGGUGGGCUUGCCCAAGUGCAUGCUAAACAGUCAUGUUACGCCACAAGGGAAUGAAUAGAAACUGCUAACAUCAAAUGUCCUGACAGGAAGUUUGUUCUGAAUGGCACAGAACGUAGUUGUCCCUCAAAAUUCUGCCACGUUUCCAGUCCUCCUUGGCCCUCUGCCUCAGAUGGCUUCCUAGUAUUUGCCAUCAUCGCUUUGUCACUCACAAAUGUUACCUUGGGAUACACAGGAGUGAAUUGAUUAGGGGAUAAGUGAUUUCGCUGGAAAUUGACCCUAACUCCAAGUGAUCAUGGACAGCCCUUUACUACCCCAGGAUGUAUGGCCGCCUUAUCUUCUGGCUUCCCCGGCUUCCUACUAGAAAUAUUGAUACAGGCCCCCGUAUCGCUGCACGGACCCUGAACCUGGAAGAAUACAGUACAAAUGGCUAUCGAUGUUGUUGAAAUAGCAGUCUUAAAAUGCUAUAAAAAUAUUCUAAGAGAACGCUUUCGAUCCUGCAGUGGAUAUAGUGUUCUAGUCUUUUCUCCAACGAAACUUAUUCUUAGGGUUUUUCAGACUCCUUUCUAAGCUACAUAGUUUGGAUACAAUAUUUUUCUUCUCUUCACUGGGAACUCAAUCUCACAGUCUAUUGAGAUAACCUCAUCAAUAGUCAAGAGACAUUUUCCAUCUCAUUCCUUCUGAUCUCCACAGAAGUCCACUUUCUCCUCUUGUCUCCUGGCCAUCCUUUAUCAUCUGCCAAUUACUAUAAAUAACAGAAUGCUGGCAAAACUUACACAAAAAGGCACACGUGUUCAAUGAUGCCCAAAUGCACUCUUACCACCGAGGUUAUUGCUCCGUACUGUCCCAAAGGCAUAAUUCUGCCCCCCCCACUCCCCCACAGCCACACACAGAAUCUGAUUGGAACCCAGAACUUGAGGCCAGUGCUUCAUUCAACUAGCAGGAGCUUGCUCACAAGCUUGUAGCCCAAUGAGAAGCAUAGCACUUUGAAGUCAAACAGGCCUUCAGUCGCUUUGUAUAUUUGCAGUUUUACAUUUGCUAUUAGUUUAUAGCCACUAAUAACACUGCGGUCAUGAAUCUAUAGUAUCAAUAUGAUAAAUCUUAGAACAUAUUCUAGACACAGUGGUACCUUGCUGCUACUAUACUUACUAAUUUACGCCCCAAUAUUAAUAAGUAUCACAUACAGAUUGUGUAUGCAUUGUUUGUCCUGGAUAUAUGCCAACUAUGAUCAGCACUUAGAAAAUACACAUUAUCAUAGUGAAAAUACGUCUUGGUCAAUUCAGAUGAUACGUGAAUCUGAUAAAUACUCUAUUAGAUAUUAUGUUUGUCCUCUAGGCUUGUUUUAUAUUACAGUGCAUGCUGUUUGCUAAGUUAAGUAAAAAAAUAAUAAUAAUAAAUUGUACCAAUUUUAAGGUUAGAGUUAAAAUUUUACAUAUAUGCUGCUUGGUACUCUGAAAUGUAUUUUGUGGCUUAAUUAUCUUAUUCACACACGUUUCACUUGGCUUUUCCCCCCCUAGGAAAUCAUUAUUCAAAUAUAUCUCUCCUUCUUUCUUAUAAACUGGAUCAUACUGCUUAAUUCAACCUAAAACAUUGUAAAGCCAGAUUACCUCAUUUUAACUGUGAAAAAAAAAUUAAUAGGUAUGACAUGAUGUCUUUUCUUGUAUUUUAUUUGAACUACCUAAAUAGGCCUAACCCCAAUAAUAAAUAUAAAACUUCAGCAGGCA